GACGAACGCUGGCGGCGUGCUUAACACAUGCAAGUCGAACGGAAAGGCCCCUUUGGGGGUACUCGAGUGGCGAACGGGUGAGUAACACGUGAGUAACCUGCCCUUGACUUCGGGAUAACUUCAGGAAACUGGGGCUAAUACCGGAUAGGAAUCCUUGCUGCAUGGUGGGGGUUGGAAAGCUUCGGCGGUUUUGGAUGGACUCGCGGCUUAUCAGCUUGUUGGUGGGGUAGUGGCUUACCAAGGCUUUGACGGGUAGCCGGCCUGAGAGGGCGACCGGCCACAUUGGGACUGAGAUACGGCCCAGACUCCUACGGGAGGCAGCAGUGGGGAAUAUUGCACAAUGGGCUGAAGCCUGAUGCAGCAACGCCGCGUGCGGGAUGACGGCCUUCGGGUUGUAAACCGCUUUCAGCAGGGGCGAAGCUUGUGGUGACGGUACCUGCAGAAGAAGCACCGGCUAACUACGUG
rnacentral:rRNA from 1 species